AUUGAACGCUGGCGGCAGGCCUAACACAUGCAAGUCGAACGAGUCGCGGACGGGUUAGUAAUGCCUGGGAAACUGCCUGAUGGACGGGGUUAACCACUGGAAACGGUAGCUAAAACCGCAUUCCAUCGGCUGUGCCCACAUGGGAGUAGCUAGUAGGUGGGGAAAAGGGCCACCUAGGCGACGAUCCCUAGCUGGUCUGAGAGGAUGACCAGCCAAGCCGGAACUGAGAAACGGUCCAAAAUCCUACGGGUGGCGGCAGUGGGGAAUAUUGCACAAUGGGCGCAAGCCUGGUGCAGCCAUGCCGCGUGUAUGAAGAAGGCCUUCGGGUUGUAAAGUACUUAAAGCGGGGAGGCGUUACCCGCAGAAGAAGAACCGGCUAACUCCGUGCCAGCAGCCGCAGUAAUUC
rnacentral:rRNA from 1 species